UGCGUAGGCGGUUUGUUAAGUCUGUUGUGAAAUCCCCGGGCUCAACCUGGGAAUGGCAAUGGAUACUGGCAAGCUAGAGUGUGUCAGAGGAUGGUGGGAAUUUCCGGUGUAGCGGUGAAAUGCGUAGAGAUCGGAAGGAACAUCAGUGGCGAAGGCGGCCAUCUGGGACAACACUGACGCUGAAGCACGAAAGCGUGGGAGCAAACA
rnacentral:rRNA from 1 species